rnacentral:lncRNA from 1 species
AGCAGGAGGCUUCGCCUCAUCUGGACCUGAAGGGUUUCUCAGAACUUUGACAGCUCUGUUAUUGAGAUCAGGACAACAACAUUAAGCUCUCAGAUCUUCAUGAGGAGACAGUCAGUAGAGAUAGACCAGGCAGUCAAUAGAAGCUGUCCCCACAGUGACAAGGACAGGCAGAGGCUGGAGAGACUGGACAACAUGCUGCAGACAAUCACACCCUCACCGGACACACCGACACAGUCUAGUUUCCUGUGUGUAUCAAGAAUGAUCCACCACCCAAAGGACAUCCAGCCAACUUGACACAACUGUGGGAAGCAUUGGAGUCAACAUGGUCCAGCUUCCCUGUGGAACACUUUAGACACCUUGUAGUCUCUCUUUAUGUAGUGUUGUGUUGUCUCGCUUGUCGUGAUGUGUGUUUGUCCUAUAUUUUAUUUCUAAUCCCAG